ACACACGCUGGGCUGGACCAACACCAGCACCACGCACGCACGCGACUUGGCCUUGGCCCUCGCACGCACACGCCUCUCCCUAUCGAUCCCCAACUCACGCCCCGGCGACGCUGCCGCCGUCGCCUGCUGUUUCCCCGGCCAACUCCAGCCAUGCCUGGCGCCGCCGUUUGCCGCCACAACUCCGCCUUGCUCUCCUCCAUAGAUUUCCCCUUGGCGCCUCCUCUAUACGCCUUCGCCUGCGCGCCCGCGGCGAACCCUAGCUCGCGGGUUGGCUUGGACGCCGCCGGCCGCUACCGGCUCCGGCGCCUCCGGCUGCUCCCCUUGGUCGACACGGCCUCCUCUACGUUUAUGUCGGCCACGCCGCCACUUGGUUCUAUCUCGACCACCUCUAGAACCCCCGCUCGACCUGGCCGUGCUCGGCUCACUUCGGCACCGGCGAGGUCGGGAUCUUGUCCGCCUCGACGAGCUCUGUAUCCUUCCCCAACUCGAUUUGGUUUCCACCGCUUCUCUCAUACGCCCCCGACCCUGAAACCCUAGCGGUGAUCGAUUGAUUUGGGCACCAUCGGCCCCUUCUGGCACUGCGGCCCGUCGCGCGACUCCGCCACGGAGUCCACCACCACCUCCCGCUACCUCAGCUCCCUUUGCUUCCGCACGUGGCUUCGCCCACUGCUACCCCUAGCAGUGGUUCCGGCGCGGUCGCCGGCGUGAUGCGGCGCCCGCUGCGCUACCCUCUGGCCCUCUGCGUCAAAUACUCCUCCUCCACGAGCUUGUGCUCGACCGCCUCUUUUCCGGCGAUUGCUGGACGGCAGCGUAGCUGCAACCCAAACGCCCUUGAUCUCAAGCCUUGUGACAUUGUUGUCGUGGUAGUGUACUGACAAUGAGGUGGUGACUGCUUUAUCCUUGAUGCCGGCCGGACGGCGUCUGCGACUGCAACCCGGCGUCGCCUACUGCUCCUACUCUUUACUUCACUCACUGUGCCAGGUGACUCCCCUAGUGACUAUGCUGCUUGGGAACUUGGGUGCCUUAGCUCCCAGGUUUCCUUGGAUAAGAUCGGCUGAUGAAAAGAUCUGCCUCUGCUUAUCAUUAUUUUAACCCUGCCAUUUGGCAUUUCUUUUCUUUCUAUUCUUCCCUGUUUGUUUUGCAGGUGAUCAAUUGGAGAAGAAGAUGAUCAAGACUUAAUUUAGACUUUGACUUUUCUUUUUCAAAAUUUGUAAUUCUAGUUGUAAUAUUCUUUUAUUUAUUUAUUUAUUUAUUCAUUUGUAAAGACAUUGUA